AGUGAACGCUGGCGGCGUGCUUAACACAUGCAAGUCGAGCGAAGUGGCAGCUGUAGCAAUACAGUAUGUACUUAGCGGCAGACGGGUGAGUAACACGUAGAUAACUUUCCUCUAAGCGGGGGAUAGCUUGCCGAAAGGCGAGGUAAUACCGCGUAUUAUCAAGAUGGGGCAUCCCGUUUUGAUGAAACGUCCGCAAGGACGGCUAAGAGAGAGAUCUGCGGCCUAUCAGCUAGUUGGUGGGGUAACGGCCCACCAAGGCUAUGACGGGUAUCCGACCUGAAAGGGUGACCGGACACACUGACACUGAGACACGGGUCAGACUCC
rnacentral:rRNA from 1 species